GUUCUUCACUGCUCCGUGUUUCUUCAUAUUCUAAAUAUUCUUCCUAAACGUCCCUAAAUACUUUGAAAGUUAACACAAUAAUACUGUGGAUAAAAGUGAUGUGUUAAUUAAUUUAGUUAAUUAAGUAGUAGCGCGUCGACCGUGUGAAAUGUUUGGUGGUAUUUACACCACACAGGAGCAGAUAUCAGUCCGCCAGAGAGCUGAGACCUGUGUGUUCUGUGUUUCCAACACAGAUUACCAAUAAAUAAGUAAAGGACGGCAUGGUGAAGUGUAUUUUGUUUAUUUUUUUAACAACGUUGACUAAUACUCUAUUAUUUUGAAGUAUCGCUUUUAUUUUGAAGAACCGGGUGUCCGGCGCAGGAAGUGUGGUGGCUCUAUUUUCCUUCGGACUUUUGAGUGGGAAGCCAGUUGAGUACAUAUUAGAUGCCCAGUGGAAAAACACCAAUGUAAAGCUGCAGCCAACAUCUAGAAAGCCAGAAGAGCUGAAGUUUACAACAUACCACUGCACCCAAAAGGCUUUAAAACGACGAGAGGUCGUUGAACAGAGACCCAUGAUAGAAAAAUUCAAAAACCGGUGACCUGCCCUGUUCCAGCAGAGUGAAAUCACUACAAAGCCACUACGGUCAAAGUUUACUUCACAACUGGACCACGUUUCACUCAAGCUGAUGCAGAUCUUCAAACGCAAAGGAGGAGUGAACAGGCAACGAAUCGAAGAAGUUCUGGCAAACAGAUUUGUGUGACAACAUUGACAUCAGGAGGGACUGAAACCUUGAGAAGCCUUGUUGUCCAUCUCAAAGAAGAUCCAGACACUUUGUUCAAUGAAUAUCUGGUCUCCGCCACUGAGGAUGCAGAAAGGGACAUUGCCCUCACAGUCAUGGGGAUAAACAUCAUUCAUGGAGAUGGCGAUGGCUUCACGGUGGCAGAGGGGGCGAGGGCGCAUAUGCAGGAGAAGGUGGGGACGUCCAAAUUCAUCCUCUGCAAAUUGGUGGAGAACUCAACGAUGCUGUCGAUCCACUCGCCGAAGCCCCGCACACAAUGGAGGCGGUCCCAGACGGAGCCGUCACAGAAUACCAGCUUCCCUUCACCUGGGUUGGACCUAGGACAAACCAGAAGGUGCAACAUCCACUCAGCGGGGUCAAGACUACACCUCGGACCAAUUGAACGUCCCUGGAGAAAUGAGUCUGUGCCUUUUGCAUGAAUGACAGCUAUGUGAAGCGUUACAACAGGGGUCACCAACGUGGUGCCCGUAAGGACCAGAUGAGUCAUACAUACACACAAACACACAUACAUACAUACGCACACACAUACAUACAUAAAUAUAUUCAUACAUACACACAUAAAUAUAUUCAUACAUACAUACGCACACACAUAGGUACAUAUGCACACACACACAUACAUACAUAAACACACACAUACAUACAUACAUGCAUACGCAUACAAACAUACAUAUAUACAGUACAUACAUAUUCAUACAUACAUACGCACACACAUACAUACAUAUAUACAUACAUAAGCACACACAUAGGUACAUAUGCACACACAUACUGUACAUAUGCACACAUACAUACAUACACACACAUACAUAGGUACAUAUGCACACACACACAUACAUACAUAAACACACACAUACAUACAUACAUGCAUACGCAUACAAACAUACAUAUAUACAUACAUAUUCAUACAUACAUACGCACACACAUACAUACAUAUAUACAUACAUAUGCACACAUACAUACAUACAUACACACACAUACAUAGGUACAUAUGCACACACAUGCAUACAUACAUACAUACGCACACACAUAGGUACAUAUGCACACACACACAUACAUACAUAUAUUCAUACAUACAUAUGCACACAUACAUACAUGUAUACACACACAUACAUACAUACGCACAUACAUACAUAUUCAUUCAUACAUACAUAUAUUCAUACAUACAUACGCACACACAUAGGUACAUAUGCCCACACACACACAUACAUACAUAAACACACACACACACAUACAUACAGUACAUACGCACACACAUACAAACAUACAUACAUACAUAUUCAUACAUACAUACGCACACACAUACAUACAUACAUACAUACAUAGGUACAUAUGCCCACACAUACUGUACAUAUGCCCACAUACAUACAUACAUGUAUACACACAUACUUACACACAUAAACACACACAUACAUACAUACGCACGCACACACAUACAUACAUCUUCAUACAUACAUACAUAUAUUCAUACAUACAUACGCACACACAUAGGUACAUACACACACAUAUAUACAUGUAUACACACACAUACAUACAUACAUGUAUACACACACAUACAUACAUAUAUUCAUACAUACAUACGCACACACAUAGGUACAUACACACACAUAUAUACAUGUAUACACACACAUACAUACAUACAUGUAUACACACACAUACAUACAUAUAUUCAUACAUACAUACGCACACACAUAGGUACAUACACACACAUAUAUACAUGUAUACACACACACGUACAUACAUGUAUACACACACAUACAUACAUAUAUUCAUACAUGCAUACGCACACACAUAGGUACAUACACACAUAUAUACAUGUAUACACACACAUACAUGUAUACACACACAUACAUACAUAUAUUCAUACAUACAUACGCACACACAUAGGUACAUAUGCACACAUACAUACAUACAUGUAUACACACACACAUACAUACAUGUAUACACACACAUACAUACAUACAUAAACACACACAUACAUACAUACAUACGCACAUAUGCUCAAAUAGCAGCACUUACCAGUGAGCUGCCAUUAUUUUUUAAAUUGUAUUUAUUUACUAGCAAGCUGGUCUCGCUUUGCUUGACAUUUUUAAUUCUAAGAGAGCCAAAACUCAAAGAGAAUUUGAAAAUCCAAGAAAAUAUUUGAAAGACUUGGUCUUCACUUGUUGAAAUAAAUUCAUUAUUUUUUUA